AGGAGGAGUGGGGGCAAGUGCAGGCUGGGGGUGAAAUAUGGCCCUGGGGGACGAGUCUCUAGGGGUUUGAAAAUUAACAUCAAGGCUGUCUUAGACCAGGGAAGGAAAACGGGAGACCACUGAGGAAAAACCAAAGUCCAGAUCGGGCAGAGUUCACUGGAAAUGGAGUGGAAACUGGAGCGCAGCGCCCCACGGAGGGUCCGUACGGAAGAAGAGAUGCUGUGGGAGAAUGUCGUGCGGAUGUUCGCCAGAGAUUUGGAACAGAAGAGAAAGCAAAGAUCCCCCAAGGUGAGUGUCCAGUUCUUGCUCUUGUUCUGUCUU
rnacentral:lncRNA from 1 species